ACAUACAAGUGGUAGGGAGUCCGAAAGGUGACGACCCUUCGGGAGCUUGUACAGGUGUUGCAUGGCUGUCGUCAGCUCGUGUCGUGAGAUGUCCGGUUAAGUCCGGUAACGAGCGCAACCCUCGCUGCGUGUUACAUGUGUCACGCGGGACCGCCGGUACAAAGCCGGAGGAAGUGGGGAUGACGUCAAGUCAGCAUGGCCUUUAUGUCCGGGGCUACACACACGCUACAAUGGCCGGUACAAUGGGUUGCUAAGCCGCGAGGUGGAGCCAAUCCCUAAAGCCGGCCCCAGUUCAGAUUGCAGGCUGCAACUCGCCUGCAUGAAGUCGGAGUUGCUAGUAACCGCGCGUCAGCUAUAGUGCGGUGAAUACGUUCUCGGGGAUU
rnacentral:rRNA from 1 species